rnacentral:rRNA from 1 species
UACGAAGGGGGGCUAGCGUUGCUCGGAUUUACUGGGCGUAAAGGGCGCGUAGGCGGACAGUUAAGUUGGGGGUGAAAGCCCGGGGCUCAACCUCGGAAUUGCCUUCAAUACUGGCUGUCUUGAGUGUGAGAGAGGUGUGUGGAACUCCGAGUGUAGAGGUGAAAUUCGUAGAUAUUCGGAAGAACACCAGUGGCGAAGGCGACACACUGGCUCACUACUGACGCUGAGGUACGAAAGCGUGGGGAGCAAACAGG